UUCGUAAAAAAUUCUAAUAAGUAAGCUUCAAAAUUAUAUAAAAAAAGUACGAAUACAUAUUAUAUAAAUACUAAUAUUCAGUACAUAAAAUAAGGUUACUUAAUUUAACUAAUCAGUGUUUGAAAAAUAAAACUUAAGAUAAUAAUUUGUUCACAACAAACAACAGAAUACUUUUAAUCACAAUUUAGUUUAUAUUUCAACUAUAGAGAGAGCUCAUCUUCGAAUCUACUCCUACAAUUACUUCACAAAAUAAUUAACAAUUGUAAAAUAAAGUUAAUACUUAUUAAAUAAUUUUGACAAAAAUAUACACGCACUACUGUCAAACUGAACUUUACUGCAUUCUAGACGUGGAAAAGAGAAGAGAGCAAUCAAUGUAGAGAACCUGCUCAAGACUUCAUUCGGCAAUUUUAUAAGUUCAUACGUGAGAGAAGUCUAUUUGUAAAUAAAACUCUUAUUUAAAUGAACAUAAACGAGUAAAUUAAAUCAUCAUUAUAAUAAAUUAUUAUCAUACAUACAAAAUUAUGAAAAAGUAACUAAAAUAAUAAAUUCAAGGUGUUUAUUUGUAUAUUGACACCUUUUAACACUUUAUAAUUUGAGUAUAUCGCCAUGCAUUCCAUACUACAUAACCGUACAGUUUUUGUUGACAUUGUUGCCUCAUGUAAUGUUUUUCUGAAAAUUUUCCUUUUAACUAAAAUUGUUAGCUUUAUGUAAAUAUGACAACGUAUGAUUCUAAUCAUCCUUAAAAAGUCCAUUUCUUGUUCUUGUCUGUACAUUGUUGAAGUUUGCUCACGUUUUCAGGGAAACAUUUAUUUUUUUAUGAAACUUCCAGACGAAGAGAAUAUUUUAAAAUAGCUUAUAACUAGAAAUUGAGUCGAGGUAUUACUGAUAUUCUUUAAAAUCUUAUUAAACACCAAACAAACCGUACUAACUGUUUUAUUGUAUACAACAGAUAAAAUAUAAACGGGCCUUUAGUUGUUGAGAGUGGGGAAGAUCUGUAUCUGUGUAGUCUUUAGCUGGGAAAUACCUAUGGUAGGGAAUCCACAUCAGCCGGAUUGUCCAGACGACGAAGAAGGUGUCAGUCUUGAUGAUAAUUCUGAUAACGUGCAAAAAAUUUACCGAAGACUGCUUCCGUAGUUUGGGGAAGCUACCCUUUACUUUGGUCUACGGAAUUCAAGCAAACCUGUAAACGUGUUAGUAAGCUCAUCGAACGAGUAGAACUAGUGUCCGUUAUGGAAGUGUCUAAUCAAUCGUCAGAGAGCAAAUGGGCUUUCAUUAUACCUCCGAAUCAAAACGUGCAAAUAUGGAGUAGACAAACAAAACAACGUGAAAAUGAAAAUUCGAUUAUCUACGGGGAAGGUGUUAACCACGUUUUUUGAGAUUAGAAAGGUGUCCUACUAGGAAAUUUCUUACAUAGACGUCAGACUAUUGAGGCAAGUUUCUACUGCGGUCUUUUAAAUCAAGUUGAGCUUAAAAAAACAUUAAAGAAGAGAUUGUCCCAAACGUGAGAUGUUGCUCUUGCACACCAACGACAGGCAUCGUACAGUAGACCCAAUACAGCAGAAACAAGUGGAAAUUAAUUGGAAAGCAAUUGAUUAUCCACUUUAAAAUUCAGGUUUAUUGCUAUGUGAUUUUUUUAUGUUUGGACCUCUCAAAAAAGCACUUCGAGGCAAGAUAUUUAAAUGGUAACAUUCGUGUGUGAUGUAAGAUACACGAGUUACAUAUUAAGUAACAGCUGGCAGCAUAUAACAAAGUGAUGACUUGCGGAAACACAAAAGAUAAUAAAAACUGUAUUUCUUUUCAUAAUCCAUUCUUUGUUCCAACGUUGCUUAAUAAAUAUAUAUUGUAAUUGUAAUUUUUGUUUUUAAAAAUCCAAAUUCGGAGUUUUAAUAUAUAAAUCACGUCACACUUUAUUUUACGAGAACAAAAUUUAUACAUUUAUAGAAAUGUAGCUGUUGUUUGUAAAAAAUGUUUUUGUUUAUGUUACAAAAUUGUCUACUGGUGUAGACAGUCAAACCAGAGUUACAUGCGAAGAAUUCUUGAAGGACAUUUUAUAAACAAUACAAUUGUAUCAAAUAUCAUAAACAUGUAUCAGCAUUUAUUCUAUUUUUGUAUCAAAUAUCGUAAACAUGUAUCAGCAUUAUUUUACUAUAAAUAAGAUUUUUGUAAACAACUUGAUGAUAUUUAAUGUUUAUAAUUAGUUCGAUCUUGAGAUUAAUUGUAUUCAUUCAAAUAUUCAAAAAUAAAUUUUUUAAAAAUAAAUUUCGAAAACCGAAAUUUAUAAUUGGCGCAGUCAUUCGGAUUAGUGCGGUCGGGAGUUUACGCAAAGUGCGAUAAAGUUCCGGCUAAGUAUUUCAGUACCUCAGCACUAGACCUACAUAUUCAACGAGGGACAGGACUUCAGAUAGCUGUUUACAAUUUCAAAAAGAGGACGCUAUGGAUUGUGGUCUAAAAAAACUCCGUUCGAAAGAAUUAAUUCUGAGCACAUCCUUCACCUUGAAGAAUGCUAUUUUGGUUUAACAAUUAAGGAUGUCAGGUUUUGAUAUUGUAGAAAAAUAUAUUUUUCCCUCCUUUCGCUCCGUAAACCCGAAGGAACCUCAAUGGCUAGAGCCACGGGCUUUAAUAAAGAAAAUGUUAGUCACUUUUUCGAUAUUUUAGAACGAAUUUUCGAUAAGCAUAAAUUUACAUCCGACACCAUAUUUAACGUGGACGAAGCUGGUUUUACCAAUGCGCAAAAAAGUCUCCCCAAAAAAUUGUUCGUAAAAGGAAGCACCAGGUAAGGAAGUCUAACAAGUGAUGAACGUGGCGUCAGUACAACUAUGAUAGGUACAGUUAGUGCUGCCGCCGGGGUAUAUAUUCCACCGAUGAUAAUUUUUAAUACAAUAAAAUUUUAUUUAUGCAUCUAAAUGUUCUUGAUUUUAGGUCUCUUCUGUUUUAAAAUUACAGUAGAGCCUCUUUGUUAUUCUAUCUAUCUAUAUUCUUCUCUGUAACGAUUUUUUUUUAAAGACAAAUGAAAUUCCUUUAUACAAAAAUGUUUCCAGAUAACGAAGAAAAUCUUCCAUAUAACGAAUUAAAAUGCUCCGAAAAAAAUCCAAAAAGUAAUUUUUAUUAAUAAAAUUACAGAAAUGGUGACAAGGGGAGGCACAUUAGAAGAAACUGCCAGCUGUCGGAAAGUUAUAGGCGAGCGGAUCACCCCCAAAAAAUCGCUUAGAAAACAAAAAACCGACCAACCUCGUUCUAGCCGCUAAAAACCAUUUAUAUUUUCGAGGAAGCUGAAUACGAAUAUGACAUUUACUAUUUUCCAAAGUUGGGGGAACAUGGUCAAAAUCGAGUUUUAAGUCGAAAAUCUGGAAAAAAUGAAUUCGUGAUUUUUGCUGUUCUGUUGCUGUUGCUGUAUUUUGGCGAAUAAUGAAUAUUUUUUCAUGAAAUUUUUUUGGCAUACCCUUGAACCAAUUCAAAAAGUAAAUAAAUACAUCCGAAUCCCCCCAAAAAUUUUCCGGUUGUAUAGCAAAUUCCGGAAAAUUUUUUUUAGGCUCUCCCGACUUUGUGCAUACGAUUGACAAAGUUGAGUGAGGAAGUUUAAAAUUUACUACUUCUGAAUGCAUGGUACUAAAACUAAUAAUGUGAUUAAGUUUUUGGGAAAGUCUCAGAUCUUAAUAUGUAGAAGAAAAAAAGAUACAGCGAUUUCAUGAUGCGAGUUUCGACUUGAUUGUGAUUGAAUAUCCUACUGGUGAUGAUAUAAUAGACUCGAUACAAGAUCUCGAACACCAAGAGGACGACGAAACGGAUGAUACUGAGGAACCAGAAAGACCGAAGCCCUCAAAGUCCGAAAUGCUGCCUGCUUUUGAGACCAUCAGACAUGGUUUCCAGUGUGUUGAAGAAGUGCCUGAUAAUGUUUUCCAAAUGAUGGUGUGAACAUUUCUAUGAGAAGUUACAAACACCUGUUCAACAAGAUAUUAGAAAAUAUUUCCCAGCUCAAAACAAAUAAAUUACCAUUUGAUCUGUAUACAUUUUCCUAUUGCUUCAUAAAAUGUACUGAUUUUUGUUGUUGUUUUUUAUUAUGUACAUAUGUAUAUUUCAUGUAGAUAAAUGAAGUUUACAUAAUAAACAUAAAAAAUAAACAGUUUAUUUUUUGUUCUAAUUGAGUUUUUUUAUAUAAUAUCCUUUGUUACAUUUCAUAAAAACACAAGUACUACUAUUUAUAUGUUUUUUCAAACUUACAAUACAAUUUCUUUAUAAUGAAGUUUCUAUGUAACGAACUUUUACUUUGGAACCUUCAAUUUAGUUAUAUGGAGGUCCUACCGUAGUUUUUUUUGAUAAUUUUUGAUAUAUUGAUAAAGACUUAAAGAAAAGUCGAAACAUCAAAAUUUAUCUUUCUUUUAAAAACUAUGAAAAAAAUUAUUUUAAAACAGACGAGACCUAUAAUCAAGAGCAUUUAUAUACAUUAAUAUAUCAAAAGGUCUAAGAAAUAAGAAAUUAAAAAUUUUAUUCUGACCUUAAAAUUGGACCACCUCCCGCCAGUAUUGUUACGAUUUCGGACAAAGAAUAUAUAACUCAGAUCUCUUUGUUGAAUGGCCGAUAAAUUUCCAAAAACAUAUCAACUGCAAUGUACAUACUGCUCAAUGGCCAUAUAAUAUACAGCAAAAAUUUGCAGGCUUGUGAGUUUGUUAGAAAAAAUGGAAUGGUCUUACUUCAUCUGCCUGGCUAUAUCACCCACCGUUUACAGCCUUUGGAUAUAGCAUUUUUUGGUCCUUUGCAGACUUAUUUUACACAAGCUCAAGAAACGUUUCUUCGCUUAUAUGAAGGGGAUAAAAUAUAUCAAACGUAAAUGUCAAAAUUACUAAAUGAGGCAUGUGUCACAGCGGCCACUGUGGGAGUGCCUUCCGUGCUUCCAGAACUUGGUCAGUAAAUAGGCCUGUAUUUACAGAAGACCAAUUUGUACCUGCCGAUGUUUCAAGUUGGGAUUUUCUGAAAGCGUUGGUGAUAUUCAUACUGAACACACCAGAACUUCAGAGACUGAAGGUAAACCGUUCACCUUCAGUCUCUGAAGACGAUAACUUGGUUAUCGAAACGCGCUUCGAACAUUGUAAUUGUGAGUGUUGGUGUAAACAGUGGGUUCAGCUGAUGUUUUGCAACCUCCAACCUUUGUUACAACUUCUUUCAGUAAUGAUGAUGAAAAUAGAGGUGACAACAAGAAUCAUCGAUUUAGAGGAGUUCUUGAAGAAAAAAUCAUCGCGAUCAAUGAAAAAUCAAAAACCAGAUGGUACUUUGUCUUCUCAUAUAGCGCCAAUAGCUCAGAAAGCAGUGAAAAUAACAUGCAGCCUUUACAAAUCACAGUUACACAGAAUAAACUUGGAAAACUUCAAUAAAAUAAGUAUAAUCAAACAAACAGAAAAUACUGGUUCAUGAUUUUGUGCAUUGUGUGAAGGAACCAAGAAAGAAGAUAUGAUACAAUAUAUGAAAUGUCGCAUUUGGAUUCAUACACGUUUCGAUAACCAAGUUAUCAUCUUCAGAGACUGAAGAUGAACAGUUUAUCUUCAGUCUCUAAAGACAAUAACUUGGUUAUCGAAAGCUCGUCAGACAGUGUAAUCGUGAGUGUUGGUGUAGUGGUAGUGUAAAGAAUGUGUUCAGUAUGAAUAUCGCCAACGGUUCCAGAAAUUCCAACUUUUUGCUGCAGUUGAAAUGUUAUAUUGUUGUAAUUAUUGCCGAAUAUUAAGCUAAUGGUUCAUUUUAGAGGUUAUUUCAGAAAGGUAUAAAGUCAUAAAACCUCAUUAGGUAUGCAAAGGGACCACAUAGUGAUCUAACGAAUAUUUAAGCCACUUUCAUAGUUUCACAUUGAUUUCAUAGUACCCACCCGGGUUGGGGUAAAUUUAUGGGUUUAGCCUAUUAUUAUCCAUUCACAAACACUGAAAAUAGUGUGUCAAAGGCGUGCCGGUAGGAUACUCUUAAAAAAGAAAGCCGAAUCUGAAAUAGAGUUGGAAUUAGGCAGAGGCACUAAUAGAAGGUUGAACGGUAUCUGUUAUACGCAAAACAUAACUGUAUAAUCUACUACCUAAGUAAUCCGUACACAAUAAUUCGAUAUUGACACUGAAAGAAAAUAUAUAUCACUGGCCAGAAAACAUACUUUUCCGAAUUCUCUUACGCAAUUUCUUGAAAUUUUAAUAUUACAAACAAUACUAUUUCAAGACCUACACCUAUUGCCGACACCGAAAUUUUGCCGAACUGGACGGAAUUUCUUAUAUUAUUACUCUACACCUUUCUGAAAUAGACUAUAGGAAACUAACGGUCCAAAUGAGAAAACCGGUUUUCUAUAUUGCACAAGAUUUUUUUUUGAAUUUAUUUUUUACUAUUAUAAAUGGUGUUUAAUAAUAUUUAAUAAAUGGUUUUAUUUUGAAAUUUAAACAGUUAAUUUAUUUCCUACUACUUAAUUUUUAUUGACACUUCUUCUUUUAUAUGGCGAAUAUUACAAAAUUGGUCCUACUUGUAGGACAGAUUCUGAUGGCGUCAAAAAAUUUACUACUUGGUCAGGAUACUAUAAUAAUAUAUAUUUCUUUUUCGCCUAGAAAAACUACUGAUCUUAAUAGAUUUUAGAAGGAAAUCAUUUUACUGAAAAAUUCGGAAACGACACUGGUAACGUAUCAAAUUAUUACUUAGUCUAACACAACAACAAAAAAACACCUAAAACAAUUUUGUUCUUACGUAAAAUUAUAUAAAAAAGCUGCAAUGUGUUCGAAUGACUAAAAAAAUUUCAUUGAAUCAGUGAAAGUAUGAGAUUAUCUCUAUCUUGAAUGCGACGUACUGUAUACAUACAAAAAAAGAACGUAUACACAUUUAAAUACAUUUUAGGAUUUUAUUUCCUAAUUAUUUUGUUUAUACUAUAAUGGUCACUUUCAAAAGUCCCUCAAAAAAUUCGGGAAAGUGAAAGUUAUCUUUUAAAAAAAGUCCUAUCAUUUGCAAAAUUUUAUACAGCACAUAAAAAUAGAUUUGAUUAAUUUUAGAUGAGGACGGAAUAAGAAAAAAUGUCCAAUUUUUCUCAUCCAGUCAAAAUAAUGUUUUUAUUAUCGAGUUUUCAGUUACCCUGACAAAUAACUGCAUUAGUGUUAAUCUAAGCUCACUAUUGUGUGGGUUCGCACUCUACUUUAACCGCUGCGGAACUUGAAGAGUUUGGUUUGAAAUUUUUGAAUUGAGCAUUGUCCAAUUAUACAUAGUUUUUUUGAAAAUAUUGUUAAAAUAUUGACUGUAAAAACAUCAACAUUUUAACAAAUUUCAUUUUUAAAUUGGAUAGGUAUAAAAACAUGAUUUUAUUAUAAUUUCUAACAAAAUCCUUUGAUUGCCACAGAUAAAUCCUGACACAGGUCUAAAGCAGAAUGAUUUAUUAUUAGCAAAGGAAACGAUAAUUCAUCACUAAUAGAAUUAUCUGUUGAAAUAACUGAAAAUACCUAUAAAAAGAAAUAUAUAUGAAGCUUAGUUACUUUCUAUGCCACAAAAAUGUGUUGAUGCUUUACAGAAGCAAAAAAAUAUGUAGGCAAUUAUUUGGAAAGUGAAAGAAAAUAUAAAAUAGAGGUUAUAAUAAUAAAAUAUUUGUUAAGAUUAUUAUUUUGAAAGUGGUUAAGGCACAUUUCAAUAUAAUUAAAAAAUAAGAAGGGAACGUUCGUUAAUCGAACAUGAAUUAUGCAUUUUACCUCUCGUUGUAGUAGGGCAGUUGCAAAUCGCGCAGCGUUUUCUCAUUUUAGCUAAUUUAUGAAUAGAUAAUGAUGAAAUAUUCCGGGGUUCAAACGAGGUCUGGCUAUUAAAUAAGGAGACUGGUUACGAAAAGGGGUUUUAUUAUAAAAAUUAUCAUACAUUCGAAUGCCCCCCUUCAAUAUAGUCCCCUCCCCUCGCCACACACCUUUCCAUACGUUUUUUCCUUUGAUCGAAACAGUGCUGGAAGUCUUAUUUGGUGCGAGCCUUUAGGAACUGCUCUGCUUUACCGCUUCCAUUGACUCAAAUCGGGUCCCUUUCAAAGCAGAUCUUUUUCUAACCUUUCAAGGAAAUCUGAGCAGAUCCGUUGACGCAAGAGCUUUUGGAGAGGAGUCAGGUUAUUUGGCACCAGCUUCGCACAGACUUUUGUUACAGGGGGAACUGGGCGCUAGUCAUCUUCAGUGCUCUCUCGGCCCUCACUAGAACGUUUACACCACUCGAAAACACGUGCACGAGAUAGAGACUUGUCCCCAUAGGCCUCUUGAAACCAUUUAUAGCACUCAGUCGGAGUUUUUCCCAAUUUAACGAGAAAUUUGAGAUUAAUACGUUGCUUCUAUUUUUCGUCACACAUGGUUUUACCCCACCCGUCUAGGACGCACUCUAUGCGUGCAGUCUCGUUACUUAUAGCCAGACCUCGUACACAAUAAGUUGUAAAGCCCAAUUACAGUAGUUGCUUUCCAAUUUAUUAAGCACUUUGUCACGAAACCAAUGGGCUCGACGAGGAAGGAGGGAAAUCAAAAUGUCUCCUAUGUUGUAAUUUUUUUAAAAGUUAGCCAACGUUCUACCACUAACCUGAAAACUCACUUAAGAACUUAACACUGUUUAAUAAUCAUCUCAAUAAAACACGGAGGUAUCAUCUAAAGUAGCCUCACCGUCGUCAUCAUUUCAUAAUAUUGAUGAAGGAGAAGAGCUUCCCAAGAAGAAAAGUAAAAAAAACUAUCGAAGGCUAUUUAAUAAGAGAAAAUUCAAUGCAAAAAAAUAGUUUCUAGAAUGGUUUUAGUCAUAAUAUAUUUUGUACGUUUUCAGAUUUGAGGUAUUUGUUCUCGAAGAGUGGAUUUUAAUUCCCCAACUCCUAUCCUAAUACAAUCAGACCUACAGUUAUGAAUUUUUCAAACGCGAUUAAAGCUGAAAUGAUUAUCGAAUUUGCACAUCUCGAGAAACAUCUACAAAGAUUUUCGUUUAGAUUCGACAAAAAUAUUUGAACGUAAAUGUUUAUCACAAAGAAACUCAUUUGAAUCUUGGUCUGAUUCGAAUACAUGGUUCUUGUACUGCUGAACAUCGUAUUGGAUUAGGGAAGGAUUAACUUCAGAUCAUAUUUCUAAUUCCGACAAAACGAGAGUUAAUUUUUGAUACCUUUUAAAACCUUGGCAACAAAAUCCGAAACGACUGCUCUUGGAUUUAAAAAAAAUCAAAGAGUGGGUAACGACAGUAGCUACAGCUAAUGCUUCUGGCUCAUUAAAGCUGAGGCAGCUGCUUAUUGGAUAGGCCAAAAACCUAGAGCCUUUAAAAAUGUAAAAGUCCACUACCACAACCAAAGGUAUGCAUUGGUGGACGGCCCGAUAUUUAGUGAUUGAUUUUACAAUUUGUACCUGUCACCGAAGAGUUUUUGAUAAAAAAAAGCUUCUCAGGAAAGAUUUUCUACUAUCAGAUAAUGUGCCAUCUCGCCCUGAUGCCCAAGAACUGUGCAGUGGUGGUAUUAAGGCAAUCUUUCUACCCUCUAAUGUAAUCUUGCUUAUACAACAUCUAGACUAAAACAAGUCACAUUAAAAGAUGUGUCGUACUAGAUUGCAUCAGCGUGGAAGGAGAUAAAAACAACCACCGUUCAAAAAUCUUGGAAAAAUUUAUUUGGCAUUGACGGGCCAUGCAAAAAAGCGCCUCAGUCCGAGAACGUGAGUGAACUAAUCGAAUUAGCCAAUGAGUUACCCGUUGAAGAUCAACAGCAAAAACAGAUGGAAAUUACCGACGAAGAAAUCAUCAAUAUGGUAACCGGUACUAAAGACAGUGAAGAAGAUGAUAAUAAGGACGAGAUAACUCCCAAAAUAUAAUACACCGACGGGCUGAAGGAGAUCGACGUUGCUCUUGCUUUCAGAGAGCAACAAGAAGAGUGUACGCCACCCGACAUCCUAUUUCUACAGCGUUGCGCAACAUUGUAUCGUCCAAUCAAGGGAAGAGGUUAUCUCAGAAGACGAUCAAAGACUUUUUUAAGAAAUAAUCUAUGUUUCCCCUUGCUUACAGGUCUGUAAUUGUGAUAAUUAUUUGUUUUUGCUUCCAAUAUACCAGUUUUGAAACCUUUCACGAGGUUUUACGUCUUUUUCACGAUAACUGAACUUAACCUUGUGGUCCCGGUACCAAUUACCUCGGAUAAUCGGGAAUCUACUGAAUUAUUCAAAAAGUUUGAAAAGUGGUUAGGAUUUUCCGAGGAUCGCCAGCUAAAGAUGAUAUGUGUUUGCAAAAAUAUGUGAAAGAAGAUACAGGAAAAGAAUUAAGCUUGAUUAUAGACUGCCGGACACGCUGAAACAGGUUUCUUGAUAUGUUACUCAGCUCUCAUCGACAUAGCAUCUGAAAUAAAAUUUACGGAUGAAGGAUAGUACAAAAUCAAAAAUGUUGAUAGCGUACAACCCUUUAAUUUGGGCGUUCAAGUACUAUGUAGAAGAGAGUCUAUCCUAAUAACUGAAGAAACAACAUUUCGAUUUAUUUUGUAGAAGUUGGAAAAGCAGGAUACACUUUUAAGUAAAGAACUUUCCGUUGUGCUACGUGCAAAAAUGAAAAAAAGACGCAACGAAAUUACUGCUAUGUUGAUUUACUAACAGCAUCCAAUUAAGUAUGACCAAUAACUGAAAAUGCCAAAUCCUACAUUUGUAAUGCCAAAUCCUACAUUUGUAAUACCAAAAAAAGGAUAAGUUCCGGCAAGAAAUGAAACAUUUUAUGCAGUCAUUAAAGACGACGUUGAAAACACAGAACUUGUACAUGAUGUAGACGUAGAUAAUAGCCAAUUAUCUCUGGAAAAUAAUUCAACUUUACAAGAGAAAUUAUAAAUGCAUCUAAAAAAAUAAAAUGAAGAUUACAUUAAACAGACAGAAAUUACAGAAGAGAGAAACUUUGAUAAAAUAUUAAAGACAGAAAUAACAGCAUUUUAAACCGAUAGAGUGAAAGAAAAUAUUUGAUUUUGUUGCAUGACUAUUUAUUAACUAUCAAAUUAUUACACUACCACUACACCAACACUCAUAAUUACACUGACUGACGGGCGUAUCGAUAACCAAGUUAUCGUCUUCAGAGACUGAAGGUAAAAUAGACAGUAAACAAAACAGUUUACCUUCAGUCUUGGUUAUCGAAACGCCUGUCAGAUAUUGCAAGUAUGAGUGUUGGUGUAUUGGUAGUGUAAACUGUGUGUUCAGUGAACAUCACCAACGGGUCCAGAAAUUCCAACUAACUAUCAAGCUAACAAGUGUAGAGGCAAAAGGAGGAUUUUCGGCUGCUGGCUACAUAUAUAGUUCUAUAAGAAGUAGAUUGUGAGAUAAAACCAUGGAUGCCAUUUGUUUCUUAAAAUCAUAUUUUCAAAAAAGAAGUGACUGAUUAUUGGAUUAUUUCAUAUUUCUAACUUUAUGAGUAACUAUUUGGUAAGAAAAAUUGAAAGACUUAGUAAACUAAAUUCAUAUGAUACUCUUUGUGAAUAAAACAUACUGAUAAUAACUAUUACCUCAGAUAAAGAUUAGAAUUUAUAAUUUUAGUGAACUGGUAUAGUACAAAAGUACCUACAAAGUUCUACCAAAUAUUGAUAUUUUUUUAUGUAACAGGAGCUUUUAUUAUUAAAUAAGUAGCCGAAGUGGUGAAAUAAAUAGCCAAUUAUUAGUAAGCAAGGCGUUGUUGAUUUUUGUAUUUUUAAGUUGAUUAUAACCAUAAUACAGUUUAUUAUUUUUAAUUCCAUGAAAAAGGUAUCCUGCAGGAUCCUGCUGUUACGAAGUUAAUCCCCCGUUAUUGGAAACAAUGCGGAAUUCCAAAACCCUAAUUGGACAAACUUCCCGAAUACACUGUUUACACCACCACUACUUCAACACAGGUAAACAGUCUCUGAAGACGAUAACUUGGUUAUCGAAAUGCUCGUCAGACAUUGCAAUUGUAAGUGUUGGUGUAGGGUAGUGUAAAGAGUGUGUUCAGUAUGAAUAUCACCAACGCUUCUAGAGAUUCCAACUUAGUUUGGAACAAACUUCGAUGAGGAGCACAUUUAUAGUUAGCUCCAAUAUAGAUUCAGUGACAAGAAGGUAAUAUCCAGAAAGAAGAAUUUCUUGUAUUGGCG